GGGCUCGUAGCUUAGCUGGUAGAGCGCAGCAUUCGCAUUGCUGAGGUCGGGAGUUCAAAUCUCCUCGAGUCCA
rnacentral:tRNA from 1 species